rnacentral:rRNA from 1 species
AUUGAACGCUGGCGGCAGGCCUAACACAUGCAAGUCGAGCGAGCGGCGGACGGGUGAGUAAUGUAUGGGGACUGCCCGAUAGAGGGGGAUAACUACUGGAAACGGUGGCUAAUACCGCAUACUAUCGGAUAACCCAUAUGGGAUUAGCUAGUAGGUGGGGUAAAGGCUCACCUAGGCGACGAUCUCUAGCUGGUCUGAGAGGAUGAUCAGCAAGACUGGAGUUGAGACACGACCCAGACACUUACGGAGGAAGCAGUGGGGAAUAUUCGACAAUGGGCAAAAGCUGGUAGCACCCGUGCCGCGGGUAUGAAAAAUGCCUUAGGAGUGGAAAGUACUUUGAGCGGGGAGGCGUUGCCCGCAGAAAAAGCACCGGCUAACUCCGUGCCAGCCGCCGCGGUAAUUC